rnacentral:lncRNA from 1 species
CUUAAAGAGCCUAAAAGAAAAGCCUCAAGCCUCUAUCUGCGUCCCCUUCGGAGAGACAUCGACUUAAUAUUCAUCAAUAUUUGGAAAAUCUUGCUUUUUCUGCCUGUGUUGUGACCUAAAUUCAUUCUCAUUUUUGGCACCGAUGUGUUCUUAGUUUAUGAUUUUGUUUGUGUUUCAUGACACGACAAAAACUCUAAAGCCUUGGGCGACCUAAGGAUCAGGAUUGGUACCCCCAUCCAUAACCUAAGGCGUACGUGGAGCCAUAAAUAUCAAUAGCCCCA